UGGAGGGAAACUUAAAGAUUACCUAGUUCCAGUCCCCUGCCAUGGGCAGGGUUGUACCCACUGUAUCGGGCUUCCCAGGGCCCCCUUCCACAUGGCCUUGAACACCUCUGGGGAUGAGGCAUCCACAUCUUCUCCAGUUUCCAUCUGUGUGAAACUAUAACAGUUUCUGUCGCUGCUGUGCUUUAGAGUGCCAGUUUGGAGACCAUGCUGUAGGAAAAAUGUUUGGUCAAGCAAAUACUGAAGAAGGCAGUGGAAUCUACUCUGAUUACAGGAUUUCCAAAGCAAGGGCUUCAGCAUUCCUGCACAUAUAAGAAGUUGGAGUUGGCUGUUCCGUAUGCUGCAAUCAGACUGACACCACAACAGUGUAAAUUGUUAUGGCAGAAUAAAAUAGUUAAGAU